GCUCUUCGGGAACAUCAGAUGAAAUUGGAACGAUACAGAUAAGAUUAGUAUGACCCAUGCGCAAGGAUGACAUGCAUAAAUCGAUGUGCCUCAUUCACUGUUU